UGCGGCUGUCCCUGCUCCAGCUCCUAGGAGGGAACAGACCCAGGGCCGCCGCGCCGCAUCGUUUGUUCCGGCUUCCCUAAGGAAGGCAUUCUGCUGAGUCACUUCCGAGGCCACAGCUGCAGCCUUGGGAACAAUACGUGUCAUUCAAUUCACUAGGCAGCGCCCCAGCGCUCACCUAGGGGACCUGGCCACAGUCUCUUGGUAAAGGCCUCUUCAUAACCAACGCGGCCAACCCCACCUCACCCCGAUGGCGACAUCCUGGGCCAAGUGGGCUCCCACCUCAGGGCCUUUGCAGUAAGCUGCGCUAGCUGCCUGGUACCCACUUGCCGCCAGGGCACCUGUAUCCUGGACAUCCAAUUCCCACCCUCAUUGCCAAGGCCCCUGCUCCGGCUGGGGUUGCAUCAGGGAAGAACGAGAAGGCAUCUGCGAGCCUGAUCCUCAGGCGGCUUGGAUGCGCACUUAGAUUGGCAACGAUGUCCAGGUGCAAACUGCAGACCUGAUGCGCACACGUGCUGGAUGGUGCUAGGGGACAGGUGUGCGCCCAGGUCUGUGUGGCCGUGCGCGAGGCUGCUCGUGAGCAGCGUGGGGACGGGCGCACUGAAUGUGCCUUCCACAAUUUCCCUGCUGACCUGGAUGCCGGCCCCAGAGCUAUUGUGUGCCAGCUCCGAGCACACCCAUCACAGUGGGACAAGACUCCGCCGUGGGGGCUGCAAACUACAUUCCCCAGAAUCUAUGGCUGCCAGCUUCCUGCUGGGCUGGGCCAAUAGGAAGUACCAGGGAUGUAAGCUUUCAGGGGCGUGGACGCGAUUAGCAUUUGAUGACACUUGGGGACCCCUUCUCAGAAUGAAGCUUU